AACGAUGAAGAUAUGUAGACAAAGUUGUGUUCAGUUUGAAAAGUUUGAACCAAUUACAGUAGCAUUCUAGUAUAACUGAGUUACUGUGGUUAUUAAUUAUAUUAAAAUGGAUGGAGGCAAACAACUGAAGUAAAUAAUACAUGCUACAAUUACAUUUUUAUUCUCUCGCGUUUGCCCAGGUGCCUAGCCCUGUUUGAGUAAAACAAGUUGCACCUAGAUGGAAGCAUCAAGGGAGACAUCUGCCUCAUUGUAUUCUGGUACCAAGUUCAAGUUCCUGGAUGAGGGUGUUCCUGCAAGCACUUCUGCUUCAAUGCCGCACUCAUUUGUUCCUCGUCUGAUCCUGAAGUAUCCGUCCUGCCAAUCAAGAAGACAAGCAAAGUGAAAAAGGACCUUAUUUUGUCAGAUUAAAGCAACAACCUAAAGAACUAGAUAGAGAGCUUACUUCGCCCCAGCUUCUAUUCCACUCGUUUGCAAUUAGCUGUAUCAGAAAAAGUAGUAAUUUUACUCCCUAUUCAGGAAGAGUUGCAUUGGAGAAUAAAAAAUCUCUAAGGAGAACAAAUUAAUAUACCCAGUAAUCCUCCCCGUCAUCGCUGGUACCCCAUCCAAUCAGCUUUACAGAAUGGCCACCAAUUGUACCACCUAUUGUGUGUUUGUAAACACCAGAACGAUAAUGGGCAAAGUCCUGUGUUUCACGGGAAAUAGAAGUACAGUUACAAUUUUUACAAGCACAAAUACCCGAAGUAUGAAAUUAAACAAAUCGGGGACUGAGAAAUGAUGAUAUUCACAUAUAGAAUCUUUUAAUCUUAAGAAGUAUUUCUAGUUUCUUUCAAAAAAAGGCAAUAUUUGGACAAAUAACCCAGAAAGAGACUCAACAAUUGUGGAAGCUUAGGCAUUAAGUGGAUGUUUAGUAUGUGUACGAGGGAUUUUCGUUUUCAGAAAACUCUCAUACUUGAUUUUCUCUUUUUCUAUUCCACAGGUUUUCUGUAAAAUUUACAGUUGACAUCUAGCAUGUUUUCCCCAUAAUCAUAUGGAUUUUGUGUGUUGAAUUUGAACAUCGUUCUAAACUUAACACUCCUAACAUUUUUCCAUUUAGAAUUUAAUAGUUUAACAAUCUUAACUCACAAAUUUCAAAUGCUAAAGGCACCUGAUACACUAAAAACUAAUUAGGACCGGCAACUUAGAAAGUAUAUGUUUUGGAAUAGUCCAGUCUAGAAUAGCCAAACCAGUAUACAAACACCAUAUUUAAGACCCAAGCCAUUACCCAACUUUAUGUCUAUUGUCCAUACAUUAUAGAUUUACUUUUAUACGUGUGUUAAUGCUCAUCUGCAUAUCAAUCGCAAAUUUCCCGAAUUGUUUUGAUCUAUAUUCAUGAAAUAGCAUGUUCCAUUCUUGAGGCACCCUAAACAAGACAGCAGUUCACAUGAAAAUAGGGCAUCACAUCUGCAUCUUCCGAACAGGCUUUAAAUAAAAAAGCACCAUACAGAGAAGCAUAUUAAAUUUCCGAAAAUAUUCGUCUAGAUAAAUAUGGAUCAGAACUUUAAAUUCCUUUAAUUUUGUCUUUACCUCAUGAACAAUGAAUGAGACCUCAACUGGUCCAUUUUUAUAUACUUCUGCCAUGAUACUCUGUGGAUCAGAACUUAUUCUGUAGGCAUUGAUGCUAAAAUGCUUUGACUUACUCCACAGCAAGUUCUCUUUAACACACUUCUUACUGCACUUUGGGGUGGGAUAUUCACCACAACCAGGGUGAGAACAUCCAGUGGUAUCAAAGUAGGGGUCACACUGCGAUAAAAAAAUUCAAAACCUGAGAUUCAAAUUGCUAGAGAAGACUUUCAUAUAAUAAUAGAAGAAGCAUUAUUUACCUCUUCAGUCACAACACCAGAGUAUGUAAAGUAUUCCCAAGCAGCAAAAGGACUACCACCAUAACAGCCAUCACCACACGAGAAGCCACAGCACGCAAGGACAUCGUUAACAGAAAGUGAAACAUUCUGCAAAACAACAACUACGUCCCUUUGGUCUACAGACAUAAGAAAAAAAAGAGUGUAAAUUUUGUUCAUCACGACAGUGUUUUACCAUGCCAAACUGUAUGCAGAAACGAUCAGAGAGUGAUUCAACAGCACCAAAUGCCCAACAAGAACCACAAUGUCCCUGACAAACCAACAAGUAAAUUGGUUUAGAAGUGGAAUUUAAUGCUUGAUCCAAAAACUGGAAGUGCAUGAAUGUUGGUAAAAUCAAGUCACCUGAUCUUGAGAAUGUGAAGCCAUUUCAACAGGUUGCAUUUCAAAAGGAAAAAAUUAGCAUCUUUCAUAAACAUUAUCAGUAAAUAAAUUCAAGCAUGCAUGUGACUGACCAAGAAUUCUCCCAAUAGUGCCACAUUGAGGCCAAGCUGUUCGUGCAUCAAACUGGUCGGGCAACUUCAGAUCUCUAGGAUGAGUUACAACCGGAGUGCUCUCCAGAACACCCUUUGGUGUUGGUUUGACUCCAAGAAGAUGCUUAAAUUGGCCAACCUGUCAAGAAAUUACAAGUAUAUUUACAAAGUUUCCUUCUUCUUUCUUUUAUGCCAAAGUGGAGGAACAUGUAUCUAUUUAUCUUCUAUUUUUUCUUUCUUUCUUUCAGGGGGCAGGGAGGGUUUAAAUGUGCAUGGUGGUACUCACAGUGUAAUCUGAAAACCGAGGACUCAUUUCAGCUGUCCAUCCAGCUGUGGAAUUACUAUUAAUCCUCGCAACAAUGGAAUCCUGUAUGUUCAUUUCAUAUCAGACAACUCCAUUACAUUGUAGUUAAACCUCAAAAAAGAUGUAGGGAGAAGGCAAUAUGUCAAUUAAGCCCAAGAGUACCUGCAGAAUCUUAGAAUCAUGUUUAAGCUGAGAAUUUGAUGCUUCGGCGCGGACCUGUCGCCAUAGAAGUUGUUUAAGUCAUACAGUGCAAACCAUUUUGUAUUGUGAAAGAAAGUUAAUGUAGUGCGUCUCUCUCUCUCUCUCUCUCUCUCUCUCUCUCUCUCAAUUGAUGGUUCCGCAUAAACCUGCUUACCACAGAGGUUGAAUGAGCCAUACAAUGUAAACAUUUUAUAUUGUUAACAAAGAUAACGUAGCAGUCUCACUCUCUCUCACACAUAUGAUGCUUCUACAUAAACCUUCUUACAGAGAGGUUGUAUAAAUUAUACAAUGUAAACCAUUCUAUAUUGAGAAAGAAAGUUAAUCUAGCCCUCUCUCUCUCUCUCUCUCUCACACAUAUUUGAUGUUUCCGCAUAAACCUGCUUACCACAGAGUUUGAAUGAGUCAUACAAUGUAAACAUUUUGUAUUGUUAACAAAGCUAACGUAGCCUUCUCUCUCUCGCUCUCUCUCUCUCUCUCUCGAUAUAUAUAUAUAUAUAUAUAUAUAUCUCUCUCACAUAUGAUUCUUCCACAUAAAUCUUCUUACCACAGAGGUUGUACAAAUUAUGCAAUGUAAACCAUUUUGUAUUGUUAAACAAGUGUGUGUCUUUCUCUCCCUCCCCCCUCCCCCCCAACCCAAGAACUGUAGAGCUUCCGAACCUAAGGUCAUAGUGAGAUCAGUAAAUGAUCCUAGGUCAUAAAAGUCCAUGCAACCGACGACUGUUAAGUGUCAGCCCACGAAAAGAGGAUGACGCAGGGAAGCAAAAAGGAUAAGAAUCAAAACUAGCAUCCAGACAAUUUACAUCAAUGCAGCAUGCUGAAUUAGUGAUUUUAUGACUUGAAGGACUAUCUUCUUUCUUUUAUAGCAUGUUUCUUAAUGUAGCUUUAACAAGAAGCUAUGGAAUAGAAAGUCCUGAGGUACAGUGAAUGUAGGUGCUCAAGGUUACAGCGGUACUUUCACUUUCCAGCUUCUUUAUCUUAAACAAGAAUGAGAACUGAUGUAUAAAACUAGCAGAAGUAUAAUUUGAAAGAGAAAAUGCUAAACAAACUUUAAUAAUGCUAGAAAAGUUACUUUGGCUUCUACAGUUUCAUCAUAAAUGUGCACAAAAUCAUAUUUGAAACCAAUAAAGGUCAAAAUUUUCUCUUCUUAAGAAUGUCCAAUAUUAAGAGAUAAGAAAAAUAAACACAAAAUAACUGACCCGUUGACAACAUUUAAAAAAAAAAAAGUUACUAAGGAGAUUGAUGCUGGCCAAGUUGAAGGCUACUAACCUUAUUCUUGUUGGAUUCCAUUUAAACCCAAAGAAAAAUGCUUUUGCAUUCUCUUUUUGGUAUCGGUGCACAAAAGUAACAGAAGUUUGUUGGCAAAUUGCAGUAGGAUACAACAACAAAGGAUGAGAAGUAAUUCCAAAGGCAGCCCUACACCCACUAGUGACUCAACUAGAAAAGACUUCAAUCCAAUUCCCAAAGGAAGAAGAUUUCACCAGGAUAAAAAAUUGAUCCCUAUACACUAAUGGAAUCAGUUUCUCUCCAAUAGAACCAAAAUAUGACAAUCAAAAUGGAUAGUCAAAAGAUCCUCCCUUGUUCAAGUUUCCAAAAAUCCUAGUGAUUUACCUUCAUGAGCACAAGUAAAGAUGUAUCAUGUGUGACAUUCUGUCUAAAACAUUGACUAAUCAAUCAUUCGUAUGAGAUAACAAGGAAUCAGAUAUUCACAGUUAUGUCAGUGCAUAUUGAUAAUUUGCCAAAAAGGAAGAAGUGAUAAUGGAACUGCAGUUUAGUAGAUAAAAAGUUAGCUAGAAGCCUGAAAACAUUGCCCUUUUUUUUUGGCAACAAGGGGAAAGGAACUUGAUUAAUGCUGAUACAUCCAUCAAUGCUUAUAUUUCUUAGAAAUCAAUCCUUUUAACAAUGUCUCGUAAUCCAGGAUGACAUAGUAAAAUUCCAAAGAACAGCAACAAAAAUCACAAAAUGAUGAUACUAAACAAACCUCCAGCUGGAAAGUUAGCAUAGCACCAAAAAGUAGUAGGGCCGUGAUGUAAAUCCCAGCCAUGGCCGUUUCCUUACUUGAAGCUGUUUCUAAACUAGAAUCCGCUGACACUCUGGUUCAAAGUUUAAUUUGUUCAACUGCUCAAACAGCCCAUGGAAAACAACAAAUAGGUAAGCAUGACCUUAACUAAAUACACGGAAUUAGCAUACAAGUAAAUAACCAAGACCAAACAGAACAUCAAUAUGGAACAGUCAAGACAUAUCAUCUCAAGAAUUAAACAGAAGCAAAUAACCAAGUUCUACUUUUGACAAUAAAUACGACCUUAAAAGAACAUGACAACCUAAUUCCACCACUAGCAAAAUAUAGCCAAAACAAGCAUCGAUCCAAAAAGAGAAAAAAAUUGAUCUUUGAUUAACGCAUAUGGUUCCAAUAACGCGUUCCUCAUAGUUAGUAGGAUCAAUACUUCAUCUUAACGUACACCAUAAUCGACCAAAAUCAUCACUUGAAUCUUAAAAAUAGUUCGGCCCUUUGGUCAAACUGGGAAAUUUGAAUCACUAAAUUCUACUACAUCUUUCAAGAAUUGCAGAAAAAUAAAAUUACUUCCCAAAGAAAAAACAAAAAACUUUUUCCAUUAGCUUGAUUGUGAUAGCUUCAUACUUCAAAAUUCCAAAAAAGCCAAAAAGUAAAAAAGAAGAGUAAAAGAAGCAAAAAAUAUGAGAUAUAUUACUUUUAACAAAAAGAUUUGAAUACAAAAUCUGAUUUUUCUGUGCAAGAAUAUUAAGCAAAGGAGAAAAUGAGUAGGCUAAUGAGAAGAACAUACCUAGGAGAAGGUGAAAAUUCUCCCUUGUCGGAAUGAGGGGUUGACGAUGAAAGUGGUAGAGAAGUGCAAGAGAGACAAGGCACUGGGAGAAAGUAGUGGCCCUUUGGCCCCUUUUAAUCUAUCUUGCAGAAAUUGGGUCGCAGAUGGGACGGGAUGCGGGGAGGGGUGGCGCCAUGGGGGGUGGCAAACAUUUGACUGUUGGGAGCGGGAGGGACCGCAGCAUUUAACUAUCCGGUACGAAUGGAUGAAGCUAAUUGGUGAAGCGCAUGUUACAUAAUUUUUCACUAAUCAGCGUGUUACACAACACAUAUUUUCUUCAAACUUAGCAAUCAGUUUGUCCAUUAGUUGUUUUUUCUUGUCCAAAAGUUCAAUGUGCCGCGUGGUUUCUUGAUACCUGAGUUUGAUUUACGGUGAAACACUUGAAUAGGUUCAGCUGGUGACACACUUGAUUUUUGUGUCAAACUUAGGCACCUUGGGUUGAGGGAAUGGAAGGGAAAGGAAAGGAGGGAAAGCGAAGGAAUUUGCCUUUUGUUGUUUGGAUUGAUUUUUAAGAAGGGAAAGGAAAGGAUAUGGAGGGAAAUGGAAGAUAAAGACAAGUUAUUUUGUUGAAUUAUAGUUUUAGUAUGAAAUUAAAUUAAUUUAAAUUUUUUUAAAAGAUCAAUUUUUUCAUAUCUUUUCCAAUAAAUUAGCACAUGAUCUUUUCCCUUCCUUUCUUUUCCUUCUUCAAUCCAAACUAAAAUUUAGUAUUUCUUUUAUUUCCUUCCAUACUUAAUUCAAAUAAUAUGGAUGGAAACCACUUUCCUUUACUCUCUUUUCCUUUCUUUUCUAUUGGUAUCCUGCUCCUUCCCCUUCCUUCCUUUCCUUCAAUCCAAAUGGUGAGUUUUUUUUUUUUUGUGAAAUAUAAUUUUGCAUUUUAUACAAAAGAUUGUUCUUAUUAAGUUAAAAAUAAGAUUGUUUUGUUUUUACAUUUUGAAAAUUUUUCAAAAGUGCAUAGUUCUAAUUAGGUCCAAAAGUAUUGCACACAACUAUAUUGAGAGAUGUUUUAAGACAAAUUAGAAGCUUGGAAUUACAUGAAAAAAUAAUAUGAUGACAAAAAGUGAGACUUUUUUUUCCUCAAAAAAUAAAAGUGAGACGUUCAUACACUAUAAUUGUAUAGACACAAGUAUGUUUAAUCACCUAUCUAAUACCACAACUCGGAAGAAUUUUGGAGACCAAGUGAAGGAAAUUGUUUUCUUUUCUGUUUUGUCUUUACUUUGGAUUUUGGGAUGAGGUUGUUAUGUUAACUUUGUAGCUUAAGAUUCAUUUUUUUUCUAGUGUUUAUGGAAAAACAUCAUCCCAUAGGAGAGAGACCAAAUCUGGUCUUUCCCCAUGGACGAACUAUUCUUUAUAAUUUUUAGUUUCUCUUAUUUGAAUAAGAAUUCUCUUUUAGGAUUUCCUAAUAAGAGAUUCUUCUUUCCUAGGAUAUCCUUGAGAGUUUCUUGUCUCAUAUAUUAUUCUAGUGAGACUUUUAUUCUCUUAUGAAUUUUUUCUUGUGAGAGUUUUUUAGAUUUUUAUCUUUGUAAAAUUUGAGAUUUUGUAGAUCUAGAACCUAGUUUUUUAGAUCUACAAUUUCUUCAUUAUUGUCAUAUCUAAAUUUCUCUUUGGACUUGAACAAAUUUUAAUCAGAUCUGAUUGUCAACAAACAUGCACAGAUGUAUUGGAUUACAGUGAUUCAUGUGGAUAAAAGAUAUAUAUAGAAGCAUCAAUGUUAUUUUUAUUUGUAUUGUUUUCUUAGAUCUGUUAUAUUUAUUGAUUUCAGAUCUAUAUGUAUUUGUGUCAUAUUUAUUUGAUCUAUUUUCUACCAUUAAUGCAUAUUUGUUUGAAUGAAAUUAUCUUUUCUAUCAAAAAAAUGGAAAAAGAUCCAGCUUCAUAACAAUAAAAUUGAGAUUAUCUCUUUAAUUCCUCUUAUUCUUUUGGCAAUUUGAGAAAAGAUUAGAGAAAGUAAAGUAAAAUAGCAUUUUCUUGCUAUUUAGUUAAAUGUGACUUAUUAUAUAAAAUCUUAGCAUUGAUAUUUUCACGGAAUCUAUUAUUGUUUUUGAGGUACAAGUAUGAAACUAUUACUGUAUUUGAGCUACAGCUAUGACAAUUUAUCCUGAUUACACAAGAUGCAUAAUCAGAGGAUGUUGUUUAUUAAUUUAGCUUCUUUUUUUUUUUUGAUAAAAAGCAAUUUUCGUUAACCAAUUGUUGGAAAUCAUCCUGUAUGAUUUGAUUUACAUUGUUGAUUCGAUGGUAGGCUAAACAUGCAUUAGAAAUAAUGGAUUAGAUAUGUAAUUUAGUUUAAUAGAUACAAUAGAUUUGAAAAAUGUUUGAACAGAUCUUGAAUACAUAACAAAUUUUCAAGUUGUCUUCGAACAAGGUUGCAAUUCCCUUCUGUGCAUGUUACAAUCAUCAAAUCUGCUAACAAUUAGAUUGAAACAUGUUCAAUAAUGACGAUGACAUCUGUUGAGAGAAAUUUAAGACCCAAAAAAAGUCAAAUCUAACAAUCAAAUUUGAAACAAAUUUCAAUCUAACAACAAAACAAGAAAAAAAUAGAAAAUUCUUACUAAAAACCCCUAUGAGAAAUAGAAAUUUCUCACUGGAAAUCUCUAAAAGAGACAGAGAACUCUCACCAAGAAAAUUUAGAAGAAACUUUGGAUUGCUGAUUUCCGUCGAAAAAUUACGUCGUUUUCCAUAAUCACAUUUCCCUAUUAUCUUUUUUCCUCACAUACAUCAAAUCGCUAUAGUAAUUUUUCCAUGAAAAAUCAUGAAAAAUUCAAUCCAAAUACAACCUUAUAUCAAAAUUUAGAAGAAACUUUAUUUAAAAAAUUAAAUAAAACAAAAUAUAUGGAAAGGGGACCAUGUUGAUUUCCCUUCUGAAGAGGAAAGCCUUCUGAAUAGAAGAGAAAAUUGGAGAAAAAUGAGAGAAUGAGAGGUUAUUUUACCAAUUUACCUUCACUUUUGUGGGAUAUAUUUUCACAUGCUUUUCUCUUAUUUAUUAUUAGAAUUAUAACUUUUAAGUCACCAGAUUAUUGCCUUUUUACAGCAACUAGUAGAAAACUCACUUUCGAUUUUGAAGAAUCAAAUACCGUUUACUUUUGUAAGUGCAGAGUGAGAACCCAAUGAAUUUGUAACUAGAAUAGCAAAUAAUCUCAAUGAAAAGGAUAAGAUAAAAAAAAGAAGAAAGCAAUAGUCAAUAAAUUCUUCUCGCUUAUGUUUGAGCUUUCAUUUAGGUUGCUGUCUUGCCUCUCUGCACUCACAACAAAAAUCAAGAUUUGAUUAUGCUGUAGUAACGCAAGAAUUUCCACGACUAUAAUUUUGCAUGACAUGCAAAUCAACCACCAAAUUUCAACUUUUGAAUAAAAGAGUCAGACUUGAGGUGCAAAGUUUAGCAUGAAAAAUGAAGCAAAAACCUAUGGAUAAUUCAUAGACUGAACUUUUCUCUCCCAAAUAUGCUAACUUUUGCUCUAGGUUCCAGUUGCAACAUUUUCGCGAGAAGACAAUAGAGCAAGACUUAAUAGUUCGAGCCAAAUGAGCCGAGACUAAUGUUGUAUUUGAAUUGCAUUUUUCAUGAUUUUUCAUGGAAAAAUUAUUGUAUCUAUUUAACGUAUGUGAAGAAAAAAAAUAAUAGAAAAAUAUGAUCUCGGAAAACGAUGUAAUUUUGUCGUGAAAGGGAGAAAAUUUUUCAAAUGGACUGCCAUAGGUUUUCUUAAGAAUGCCAAUAUCAUUUGCCAAAGAUUAAUCCAUAAACUUGACACCCAAGUUAAUCAGCUCUUUCCAUAUAGCUGAAUUACUAAAGAAUUUACUAUUGUUACUCAAUUAUAUUAAAAACGAUGGAGGCAAACAACUGAAGUAAAUAAUACAUGCUACAAUUACAUUUUUAUUCUCUAGCGUUUGCCCAGGUGCCUAGCCCUGUUUGAGUAAAACAAGUUGCACCUAGAUGGAAGCAUCAAGGGAGACAUCUGCCUCAUUGUAUUCUGGUACCAAGUUCAAGUUCCUGGAUGAGGGUGUUCCUGCAACCACAUCUGCUUCAAUGCCACACUCAUUUGUUCCCCGUCUGAUCUUGAA
rnacentral:lncRNA from 1 species